GUCUCAAAAAAAAAGGGCUGGGCAUGGUUCUGACUGUGAGUCUCAUUGGCCUACUUGAGUCACAUACCCAUUUCUGGAGCCCUGGCCAGUGGUAGGCCAGGCCUGGUUAUGCCUACCCUGGAGUUUGGAUGGAGUUAGACCCUGGUUGGUGUGAGAGUGAAGAGACAGGCUUUUCCAAGGAAAACCAGGGUUCUAAUUGCAGAAAAAGGGAAAAGGGAUGUUGAAUAAACAACAUCAACAGAUACUCUCAGUUCUCACUUUCCUUGUGAGUGGGAAUCUCUCUUCUGCCAAAUGUUCAAGCCUGCUGAGAAGAUAAAAAAAAAAAAUUAGAGAUAUGAAGUUUCAUUGAAAACUUUAAAGUUCAACAAAAAUGGAAGUGAUUUUGAAGAAGAUAAUCUCUUUGACUUGCCUCCAACUGUUUACCUGUCAGAUGCACUUUGUCUAGCCAAGCCUACCCUUCCUUCA
rnacentral:lncRNA from 10 species